ensembl:snRNA U6 U6 spliceosomal RNA
GAGCUCGCUCGGCAGCACAUAUACUAAGACUGGAACGAUACAGAGAAGAUUAGCAUGGCCCCUGCGCAAGGACGAUACGCACAUUCAUGAAGCAUUCCAUAUUAAA